GACGAACGCUGGCGGCGUGCUUAACACAUGCAAGUCGAACGGAAAGGCCUGCUUUCCCUUGUGGAUUGCGGGUACUCGAGUGGCGAACGGGUGAGUAACACGUGAGUGAUCUGCCCCCAACUUGGGUAUAAGCCUGGGAAACUGGGUCUAAUUCCCGAUAGGACUGCAGGGUGGUGCCUGUGGUGGAAAACGAUUUUCUAGUGGUUGGGGAUGAGCUCGCGGCCUAUCAGCUUGUUGGUGGGGUAAUGGCCUACCAAGGCGGCGACGGGAAGCCGGCCUGAGAGGGUGGACGGGGAAAUGGGGACUGAGAUACGGCCCAGACUCCUACGGGAGGCAGCAGUGGGGAAUAUUGCACAAUGGGCGGAAGCCUGAUGCAGCGACGCCGAGUGGGGGAUGACGGCAUUCGGGUUGUAAACUCCUUUCGACCGCGAGGAAGCCACCUGGUUGGAAGGGUGGUGACGGUAGUGGUAGAAGAAGCACCGGCUAACUACGUG
rnacentral:rRNA from 1 species